rnacentral:rRNA from 1 species
CCGGCUCACCACGGAGAUGUGGUCUUUGCCCUUCGGGGACCGGAACACAGGUGCUGCAUGGCUGUCGUCAGCUCGUGUCGUGAGAUGUUGGGUUAAGUCCCGCAACGAGCGCAACCCUCGCCCUUAGUUGCCAGCAUUCAGUUGGGCACUCUAAGGGGACUGCCGGUGAUAAGCCGAGAGGAAGGUGGGGAUGACGUCAAGUCCUCAUGGCCCUUACGGGCUGGGCUACACACGUGCUACAAUGGUGGUGACAGUGGGCAGCGAAGGAGCGAUCCCGAGCUAAUCUCCAAAAGCCAUCUCAGUUCGGAUUGCACUCUGCAACUCGAGUGCAUGAAGUUGGAAUCGCUAGUAAUCGCGGAUCAGCACGCCGCGGUGAAUACGUUCCCGGGUCUUGUACACACCG